rnacentral:rRNA from 1 species
CCUACGGGAGGCAGCAGUGGGGAAUCUUGCGCAAUGGGCGAAAGCCUGACGCAGCCAUGCCGCGUGAAUGAUGAAGGUCUUAGGAUUGUAAAAUUCUUUCAGUAGGGACGAUAAUGACGGUACCUACAGAAGAAGCCCCGGCUAACUUCGUGCCAGCAGCCGCGGUAAUACGAAGGGGGCUAGCGUUGCUCGGAAUUACUGGGCGUAAAGGGAGCGUAGGCGGGUUAUCAAGUUGGAGGUGAAAGCCCAGGGCUCAACCUUGGAAUAGCCUUCAAAACUGAUAACCUAGAGGAUGGAAGAGGUAAGUGGAACUCCGAGUGUAGAGGUGAAAUUCGUAGAUAUUCGGAAGAACACCAGUGGCGAAGGCGACUUACUGGUCCAUUACUGACGCUGAGGCUCGAAAGCGUGGGGAGCAAACAGGAUUAGAUACCCUGGUAGUCCACGCUGUAAACGAUGAUUGCUAGUUGUCGGCAGGCAUGCCUGUCGGUGACGCNGCUACGCAUAAGUACAACUACCGCCGUCGGGGAGGUACGGUCGGCGAAGAAUUAAAACUAACAAAGGAAAGUUAGACGGCGUGAGACGUGCCGAACGGACGACGACGAGGGAGGUAGG